rnacentral:rRNA from 1 species
UACGGGGGGGGCAAGCGUUGUUCGGAAUUACUGGGCGUAAAGGGCUCGUAGGCGGCCAACUAAGUCGGACGUGAAAUCCCCAGGCUCAACCUGGGAACUGCGUCUGAUACUGGAAGGCUCGAGUUCGGGAGAGGAAUGUGGAAUUCCAGGUGUAGCGGUGAAAUGCGUAGAUAUCUGGAGGAACACCGGUGGCGAAGGCGGCAUUCUGGACCGAAACUGACGCUGAGGCGCGAAAGCCAGGGGGAGCAAACGGGG